ensembl:lncRNA
CUCAGUUGUCUUAGAUCUGACUCCUUCAAAGAAGUGAUUAUAAUUGAUAACUCCAGUCUCACCACAUCAGAGUUUUCACCUAUCAGUUGUGUGCAAGGAGAGUGACAGUACUGGCACACACAUCUUGGCGCUGAUGGUUCGAGAUGGCCAUAGAAUCAUAGAAUGGCCCAGGUUGAAAACGACCGCAAUGACCAUCGAGUUUCAAUGCCCCUGCUAUGUGCAGGGUCGCCAACCACCAGAGCAGGCUGCCCAGAGCCACUUCCAGCCUGGCCUUGGAUGCCCCAUCCCUGGAUGCAUUCACAACCUACUUGGGCAACCUGUUCCAGUGCAUCACCACCCUCUGGGUGAAAAACUUCCUCCUAAUAUCUAACCUAAGCCAGCCCUGUCUCAGUUUAAGACUAUUCCUCCUUAUCCUACCACUUUCCACCCUCACAAACAGCCGUUCCCCUUCCUGUUUAUACGCUUCCUUCAAGUACUGGAAGGCCACAAUGAGGUGCUCCUGCCCUCUGAUCAUCUUAGUGGCCCUCCUCUGGACCUGCUCCAAGAGCUCCAUGUCCUUCCUGUACUGGGAGCACCAGGUCUGGACGCAGUACUUCAGAUGGGGCCUCUCAAGAGCUGAGUAGAGGGGCACAAUCACCUCUCCCUGCUGGCCACUGCCUUUUUUUUUUUUUUUUUUUUUUUUUUUUAAAUGCAGCCCAGCACACAGUUGGCCUUCCAGGCUGCAGGUGCACACUGCUGGUUCAUGUCCAGCUUCUCAUCCACCAGGACCCCCAGGUCCUUCUCCGCAGGGCUGCUCUCACGGAGAUCUUCCCCCCUGUUUAUAGAAGUACCUGGGAUUGCCCCGACCCAAGUGCAGCACCCUGCACUUGGCCUUAUUGAACCUCAUUAGGUUUUCGUGGGACCACUUCUCCAGCCUGUCCAGGUCCCUCGGGAUGGCUUCCCUUCCUUCCAAUGUAUCGACUGCACCGCUCAGCUUGGUGGACAGAAACCACUCCCCACACCCUUACCUAGAGGCUCAUGGUCCUGGCAGACAUGGGAAGCCUGACCACCCGUGAAGACUGAGGCAAAGCACUCAUUAAGUACCUCAGCUUUUUCUAUGUCUGAGGAAGCCAGCUCCCCAUUACCUUUCAUCGGGGGGAGAACACUCUCCUUGGCCUGUCUUCUCCUGCCUAUGUACCUGUAGAACCCCUUCUUGUUGUCUGUCGCAUCCCGCACCAAGUUCAGCUCCAUCUGCGCCUUGGCUUUCCUAAUCCUAUCUCUACACACACGGACAACAGCCCUGUAUUCCUCCCAGAAUACACAACCCUGCUUCCACUUUCUGUACAUUUCCCUCUUUUCUCUCAAUUUAAGCUGCAG